GUCCAGCUGACGAGUCUCAAAUAGGACGAAACGCGCGUCCUGGAC
rfam:Schistosoma haematobium scaffold742_59, whole genome shotgun sequence.